GAGGCGCCUCCAGAACCAGAAUGAGUAGCUCAUGCACCUACUCAACAUAGUGAAUGUGAGCUGCUCAUUCUGGUUUUAGAUGCGCUUCC
rnacentral:pre_miRNA from 1 species